UACGUAGGCAGCAAGCGUUGUUCGGAGUUACUGGGCGUAAAGGGCGCGUAGGCGGCCACCGCAAGUCGACUGUGAAAUCUCCGGGCUUAACCCGGAAAGGUCAGCCGAUACUGCGGGGCUAGAGUGCAGAGGGGGCAACUGGAAUUCUCGGUGUAGCGGUGAAAUGCGUAGAUAUCGAGAGGAACACCUGCGGCGAAGGCGGGUUGCUGGGCUGACACUGACGCUGAGGCGCGACAGCGUGGGGAGCAAACAGG
rnacentral:rRNA from 1 species